rnacentral:rRNA from 1 species
AGAGUUUGAUCCUGGCUCAGAUUGAACGCUGGCGGCAGGCCUAACACAUGCAAGUCGAACGGUAACAGGAAGCAGCUUGCUGCUUUGCUGACGAGUGGCGGACGGGUGAGUAAUGUCUGGGAAACUGCCCGAUGGAGGGGGAUAACUACUGGAAACGGUAGCUAAUACCGCAUAACGUCGCAAGACCAAAGAGGGGGACCUUCGGGCCUCUUGCCAUCGGAUGUGCCCAGAUGGGAUUAGCUAGUAGGUGGGGUAAAGGCUCACCUAGGCGACGAUCCCUAGCUGGUCUGAGAGGAUGACCAGCCACACUGGAACUGAGACACGGUCCAGACUCCUACGGGAGGCAGCAGUGGGGAAUAUUGCACAAUGGGCGCAAGCCUGAU